rnacentral:lncRNA from 1 species
CAAAGGAAAGGACCAAGCUCGGUUGAGGCGCGGCCCAGCCGCAGCCGCAGUCACAGCCUCAGCCGCAGCGGCCGUGCUACCUAGGUGAUAGCGGAGCGGCUGGGUAGGAAGCAAUUGUUCUCAAACUUCACUAGCCCCGUCGGCGCGGACGCUUGUCGAGAAUGCAGAUUCCUGGGAGUGCAUAAUUUCCUAGGACUGACAUUUAGUUCCAAAUGUUUUAAAGUCAAUUACAACAUCAUCUCACCCUAUGAAUUGAGCAUACCACAAAAAAGUUCUCAUUUUGUGUCCUCCCAUCCCAUUCUCCUCACUAACCAAAGCCUCCCACUGGUCUCACUAUUGACAAUACCCAAGGCAAGGCACAGAGGAAAGGAGCCAUUGAUACAUCCAAUCUCUCACCUACCAAGCUGGAAGAAGAGUAGAGAGUGGCCAACCUCCUAG